rnacentral:rRNA from 1 species
AUUGAACGCUGGCGGCAUGCUCUACACAUGCAAGUCGAACGGUAACAGGCCGCGAGGUGCUGACGAGUGGCGAACGGGUGAGUAAUGCAUCGGAACGUGCCCAGUCGUGGGGGAUAACUACUCGAAAGAGUAGCUAAUACCGCAUACGAUCUAUGGAUGAAAGCGGGGGACCGUAAGGCCUCGCGCGAUUGGAGCGGCCGAUGUCAGAUUAGGUAGUUGGUGGGGUAAAGGCUCACCAAGCCAACGAUCUGUAGCUGGUCUGAGAGGACGACCAGCCACACUGGGACUGAGACACGGCCCAGACUCCUACGGGAGGCAGCAGUGGGGAAUUUUGGACAAUGGGCGCAAGCCUGAUCCAGCAAUGCCGCGUGCAGGAAGAAGGCCUUCGGGUUGUAAACUGCUUUUGUACGGAACGAAACGGCUCUGGUUAAUACCCGGGGCUAAUGACGGUACCGUAAGAAGAAACACCGGCUAACUACGU